UUGCUUUAAUUUACUGCACUUUAUAAACACGAAAACAAAAUAAAAAGAGUGUGUAGAUAAGUGUGUUUUAUUUUUUCUGCUAAGUUUAAUCUCUAGAAAAAAAAUAAAAAGACCAAAAAUAUAUAUGAUGGAAAUGAUGAAUAGUUGCUCUGUUUGCUUACUUACAAGCACCUAGCUUUUAUAUUAGAAUUCUUCCAGGAAUUACUAAAACUAAAACUACUAUCUUUGGGAAGCAUAAAACUAAAGUCUAGGUAAAAGAAAGGCAUGAUAUAAAGUUGAGCUACUGUUUAUCCUGUUUCUACUACACUAAGUUCUGGAGAUUUAUUUUGAAAACUUACAAAUCACAUGAUGAGUUCUUAGCAUAACAAAAUUACCUACCACAGCCAUACUUGCUAUAACAUCUUCACUAUAUUCACAUUGAGUUUGAUCGAGCUGUGUAGACCCUAUAACAACUUCACUAUAUUUCAUGUGGUUAAAUUAAGAUAUUCACUUGCACACAUCUACCACAGCAUUCAUCAUCAAUCAUUAAAAUUGCUAAAAAUAUAUUAUCACUCACUGUCCCAAAUAUUGUUAUUCUCUCUCUCUCUAAAAAUAUUCAAUGCAGAAGAGGCAUGGGUUAUGCAAAAAUAUGCGAGGAAAUAAAAAGGGGCAAGUGCCCGGAACCUCGAAAAAGAAAGAAAAAGAGUGAGACGAGAGGUAAAAAUAGACAAGUGUCCGAAGUAGAAUUAGGGGUACAAAGAUACUCACUUGAGCGGAAAAAAUGGACAAGUGUCCGACAGUAGAAUUAGGGGUAUCCACUACCCACCUGAAAAAAAAAGAAGAAAAAGACAUAGCCCAUGUUCUCCCAAGGCAAAGAUCAAAGAGGAGGAGAGAUAGCAAUAUGAGGAGCAAUGAGAACUAAAUUUUAUUAUCACUUAUGCAUUUUCACCAUCACUAUCAUUUACUCCAUCACACAUGCACAUCUUGAUUUAAUUAUAUGCUGAGUUCCUUUGGAUCCAUGGCUCGAUUAGACAACAUAUGUAUGAGCUGUUUAUCACUCCUAUGAGCUCCACUUAAAUAUUCCAUUAGCUAUAGGUAAGUGAUAUCAUGGUAAGGAUCCACAAAUACCACAUAUAGAGAGACUUGAGAGAAUCAUUGCUGGGAACUCUGAGUUUUAUUUUGAAAACUUAUGAAAAAACUCUAGAACAAAAGUGAAGUAUAGACAGGAGGGAUAGUGCUUGACUUAACUAUUUUGUCUUUCAAUUACUUAAGAUUUAAGUGCACGUACUAAACUCCAUAACACUUCACUCUAAUCUAGAAGAAUUUUUAUGUAAAAGCAUGUGUGCCUGUCAGGAAAGAAAACAUCGAAGCAACUCCUGAUCCGUCUGAGUUUAGCUAUUUGCUCAGGGACGAGCAAAGGGUAAGCUUGGGGGAGUUUGUUGAUGGUCCUUAAGUACUAAAAUUAAUAAACAAAUAAACAUGAAAAAGGAUCAAUAUGAAACAAACAUCUAGAAUUAGGGUUUUAUCUGACAGAAUUCCACGAGUUUUGGUGUUUAUCUAUUUCUGCAGGGGUUUAUCAGAAAAUAUGGAGAGAAGGCCCACAUGUCAUGUUUACAACGAGAUAAUUACGUGCCGCGCAAUUUUCCUUGAUCUAGAAGGAUCCAGAAGCCACGGGAACAAACGGGACGCGAUUCGGGCUCGGGAGCUGGGCGGCCGCCCACCCCCCUUGGGCGCCCGCCCUGGCCAGGAGUUGGAUCGGGACUCUGCUUCGGGACAACGCUCCACCGACCUAAAGGAUCAAUCUAAACCAUACAAUCUAUGUCGGUUUGAUCCAAUGGCUCACGUUCACUUGAGGGGACUAUAAAACCAGACACCCUGGCCCCUGGAGGAGAGGAGGAGAAAUCAUUAUUCAGAGGUAGCCAUCAAAGUUAGGAUUUAGAGCUUCUCUCCCACAGAGAAUUAGAAUUAGCUACUCCCUAAUCCUUCAAGUUUAGAGGUUUGAUUAGAUAGCAAUUAGAGAAUUAGAGCACUACGCUCUGGAUUCGGAUCUUCGGUAAUAAAGAUUGGUAUUAUUCAUAUCUUUCUCUAAUUCUCUUGUUCUAAUUGCAUUAUGUCUCUAAUUAUUAUGCUCUUAGUUUGCUCAAGUUCUAUAUUUGAUAUAGUUCUAAUUGAUAAUGAGUUUAUGUAUAAGUUUGCAAAGCGCUUAGCUCUUGUCGCGAGGGAGUUAGGUGAUAGAUCACAUGUGAGCGUGGUGCUUAGAUGUUAUUUAUCUGCAAAUGUAUCCUAUUGGCCGAGUCGUGUGGUAGUUCGCGAUAGUGACAGCUUCGUUGAUUCUUAUAUAGUCCACCCUUCAUUGAUAGGACAGGCAGAACCGGUAUUGUGGAGUAAGUCAUGCGAUGUUCUGAUUUACUUUAUCAAUGUUCCUUAUACAUGAAUGAAGAGUCUUUUAUGCUAUAUAUGAUCUUGUAGAUAACUAGAGUAGAUUAUGACUUAGUAGUUAGUAGAUAACUUAGAAUCCAUUCUCUAGCUAAUCCGACAUCACCUACAUAUAUGAGGAGUAGUCUAUUUUCUAAUCGCUGUGCUCUUUAUCCCAUGAACUUAUACUUUAUUAUCAUUAUCUUUAUGGUUUACCCCCUGCUAAAGUAAGUGACUGUGUGAUGAGUUUCUCAUUAGUAAUCAUGUUCUUGCAAGUUUAUCUCUAGUCUAUGCCUCGAUAGAUUUUGUCCCUUGAUUUAAUUCCAUCUUCUUUAGAUCCCUAGUGCAAAAUUAUAAAUAACGAUACCUGGAAUACUUAUCCUGGUGAAAUGCUACAAUGAGGUGUUUUAUCUGUGCGCUUGCAGAUAGAAUAGAUUAUUUUCUAGAGAGCCUUUACAUUUAUAAAUACCUUUGUACACUCUGGCGCCAUGCUAGGGAUGACCACCUAGUAUCUAAGUGGUGUUAGCUAGUGUCAACAAUGGGUACGUUUCCUGUCGCGAAACAUCCUGCUUUAAUGCUUUUCGAUUCUGGUGCAUCUCAUACAUUCAUCAAUCGCACUUUUGUGAUAAAGCAUGGCAUACCCAUUGGGGAAACACAAGAUCAUUUUUAUAUACAGUCGCCAGGAGGACGACUGAGUUCUAAAGAAAUGGUUCACCAAAUACCCAUCGAAUUUGGUGGGCAUAGUUUUCCCACUAGCAUGAUUGUUCUUAAAGACCAGGAGAUUGAUGUCAUACUAGGCAUGAACUGGAAGGCACAAUGAGGGGUUGUGCUAGACACUUUGCAUCGGACCAUUAAAAUACCAUUGCCCAAUGAGAAUUCUUAUCUGCUAAUUCAAUUAGUUACUCCCAAAUAGGCAAUUGGGCAAGUUCAUGCCACUAAUGUGUCUGCAGUCAAAAAUAUCCCGGUAGUUCGGGAUUUUCCGGAUGUAUUUCCUGAAGACCUACCAGGUCUGCCACCGGACCGGGAUGUCCAGUUCAGUAUAGAAUUGAAACCAGGGACUGCCCCAAUAUCUCGAAGGGCCUACAGAAUGGCACCGAAAGAACUGGCCGAAUUAAAAACCCAACUACAAGAGUUGAUGCAAAAAGGUUUUAUUCAGCCCAGUUCCUCUCCAUGGGGUUGCCCAGCCUUAUUUGUGAAAAAGAAAGAUCAAACAUUAAGGCUGUGUGUCGAUUAUCAUCCCCUGAAUGAGGUGACGAUUAAGAACAAGUACCCAUUGCCCCGUAUUGACUUGCUAUUUGACCAAUUGGCCGGGGCUAACGUGUUCUCAAAAAUUGAUUUGAGAUCAGGGUACCACCAAAUUAAAAUUAGGCUGGAAGAUGUACCCAAGACAGCUUUUACAACCCGUUACGGGCUGUAUGAAUACUUGGUGAUGUCUUUUGGGUUGACUAAUGCACCGGCCCACUUCAUGUACUUGAUGAACUCUAUAUUCAUGCCAGAACUGGACAAAUUUGUGGUCGUCUUCAUUGAUGACAUUUUAAUUUACUCCAAGACUAAGAAAGAUCAUGCUGAACAUCUGAGAAUUGUGUUGACCCGUCUUAGGGAGCAUCAACUAUAUGCCAAGUUCAGCAAAUGUGAGUUCUGGCUGGACAAAGUUCAUUUCCUGGGUCAUGUAUUAUCAGCAGAGGGAGUCGCUGUAGACCCAGGCAAGGUAGAAGAUGUGUUGAAUUGGAAACCCCCGACUACGGUACAUGAGGUCCGUAGUUUUCUGGGUAUGGCGGGAUAUUACUGUCGCUUUAUCCCGGACUUUUCAAGAGUCGCCAAACCAAUCACAACCUUGCUCAAGAAUCAAACAAAAUUUGUUUGGUCACCUCAAUGUGAGCAAGCCUUUCAGACUCUGAAAAGGUUAUUGACAACCGCAACUGUCUUUGCCCAGCCAGAUAUUGAAAAACCCUUUGAUGUGUAUUGUGACGCAUCAGGAAUAGGGAUAGGCUGUGUGCUAAUGCAGGAGGGUCGAGUAAUUGCAUAUGCUUCCAGGCAGCUUAAACCGCAUGAAGAGAACUACCCGACCCAUGAUCUUGAACUAGCCACUGUGGUACAUGCAUUAAAGAUCUGGCGCCAUUAUCUGUUGGGGAACACAUGUCAUCUAUACACAGAUCACAAAAGCUUGAAGUACAUCUUUAAUCAAGAUGAACUUAAUAUGCGCCAGCGAAGGUGGCUAGAAUUAAUCAAAGAUUACGACCUUGAGGUGCAUUAUCAUCCUGGUGUUGACACUUACUAACACCACUUGAAUACUAGGUUGUCAUCCCCAGCAUGGCACUAGAGUGUAUUAUGGUAUUUAUACGCACACAGAUAAUCCGCAAGCGCACGGAUACCGUUGAAGCUUUUACCCGGUUAAAGGUUUUAUCGUAUCCACAGGGAAACGGGAGAACUGAUCUACGCUCUAACUUAACCAAGAUAAGUAAAUAGGUGUGAAUAGGAAAGAUGGUAGAAUCAAAUAAGAACAAUAUUAAAGGUAAGAUAACAGUGAGUGAUAAUAUGGGAAUAGAUAGUAGAGCAAUUCUAGUAUAUGGGCGAUGGUAGCAGAAUAGAGAGGUUAACUAUGGUUUCUCUACUUCAAAGGGGUAUGUCUAUGUCUGGGACGAACCACGUGAUAAGAGUACACCACAAAGGAUGCUUAUCCUUAGGCUGAUAAACCCUACCCAUCCUGCUAACGAGAGGUGGACUACAGGGGACCAACGUAACUGUCACCUACGCGGCCUACCACACGAUCCAGCUAGUCAGGGGAUAUCCACAAGUAAUCUAGGUCUAAGCACCACGCUUACACCUAUACUACAACUCUAACCUAUAGGGUCCUAUAGAUUAGAAGUACUCAAAAGAGUUGUGAACCAGAACAUACAUGAUUAGUAAUUGCAUAAUGAAUUAGAAGUAAAUUACCAGAGUCAUCCCAUGAGCAAGCUUGAUUAGAGCUUGAUCAUGGCGAAGUACAACCGGAGGAAGAACCGAUAGGCCGGCCUCUCCUCUAAUCCUCCUUCGAUCUCCAUCUUGCUACUAUCUAGAUCUACUCUAGUUUAGAGAAGAGAGGAGAGCUCUCAUAUCUAAACCCUAGCUUUUGCUCUGUCUAUGCAUAAUGAAUAAUGAUCAAGGGGUGCCUCCUCCAGGGGCCAGGGGGUCUGGUUUUAUAGUCCCCUCAAGUGAACCUGGGCCGUCGGAUCAAACCGACAUUGAUUGAACGGUUAUUCUUGAUCCUUUAGGUCGGUGGAGCAUAAUCCGCGAGAUUGAGCGUGAUUGGCCACAGGAGGUGGGCGGGCGCCCAGUAGGACAGGGCGGGCGCCCUGUCUCUGGCCCCGUUUCGCCUCCGCUUCGGUCUCGUGGCUUCUGGAGUCUUCUAGAUGUAAUAUAAUUGCGCGGCACGUUGAUAUCUCUAUGUAAUCCCGACGUGUGGGCCUUUCUUCCUUAUUUCCUGAUAACCCCCUGCAGAAAUAGACAAACACCAAAACUCGUGGAAUUCUGUCAGAUAAAACCCUAAGUCUAGAUGUUGAUUUCAUUUGGAUCCUUUUCUUUGUUUAUUUGAUAAUUAAAUUUGAUACUUAAGGACCGUCAACAAACUCCCCCAAGCUUACCUCUUGCUCGUCCCUAAGCAAGGAUAGACUCAGCAAUGGAUCAGAAGUUGUUGCAAUAUCUUAAAAAUUUGACGGUACACAUACUUUUAAAUGAGGUCUCAUCUCUGAGUUAGAGUAAACUGUCAAGACUUAAAACUUACUUACUUUACCUUUCACCAUGGGACUUGUAACCGUCACUUCUGUCUUGAGUGGUUAAAAGAUAGAACAGUCCCGUCAAGUGCCAUGUCUCUUAUUCGUGAUCAGCUAUAGCUCUGGAGUUUUUGCAGAUUUUCAAAUAAAACUCAGAGAUUCCUUUGUAUGACUCCCUCAUAUCUCUCUUUUGUGGUAUUUCUGGAUCCUUACCAAGGCAGUGAUGGUAUAUGCCUUCUCUCAAAAUAUGUGGUAUUUGUGGUAUAAGGGAUAGUGACAUUGCCCUCUCUCUCACCCUACUCUAAUAAGGCUUUAAUAUCUGGAGCUCAUAGGUGGGAGAUAAAGUAUACAUACUUACAAGACAUUUAUUGUAUAGUCAAACCAUGGAUCCAAAGAAACAAAUCAAUAAGCCAAAUCAAGAUGUGCAUGUGUGGCGAAUGAAUAGUGUAUGGUGAUGAUGGUGAUAACAAUGGUGAAAGUCUAAUUCUACUUUUGCUCUUUUGAGGGGAUACAUACCUUCCUUGCUUUUUGAAACUUUAUGAGGAGAAUGAGAUGCUCUUCUUUUUCUUUCCUCUCAGGUGGGUAUCUUGUACCCCUAAUUCUACUGUCGGACACUUGUCCAUUUUUACCUCUCGUCUCACUCUUUUUGUUUUCUUUCGAGGUUAUGGGCACUUGCCCCUUUUUAUUUCCUCGUUUAUUUUUUUUCUUUUCUUUUUUUUCUUCUUUUUUUUCAGAGCACUCAUCUCUUGAGAUAAUAUAGCAAGUGGUAGUAGCAAGAUAACUUGAGCAUUUAUUUCACAAGAGAAAAACACAUAUGUUUUUGGCUAUUCUCUCCCGAAUUAGGAGUAGAAUAUUUUUAGGUGAUUUUGGAGAUGGAAAUGGAUGGAUAUAUGUGGAUGGUACUUCCGGAGUAGAAGUAGCAUAUAUGAGUGAACGUGCAAGUGAAUCUUGAUUUAACCACAUGACAAGCUCCUAAGGGUCUACACAGCUUGACCACACUCAAUGCUCAUAAGCAGUAAAUAAUAAAUGUGUGGCUCAAAGUCUAGCAAGCAUGUAUAUAUGGCUGUGGUAGGAAUUUAAACUCUCAUCAUACAGGAACUCAUCAUGCAACAUUUUAAAGAUUUUCAAAGAUAAAAUUCUCCAGAAUUCUAGCAUCUCUAGGAACAGAUAAACAGCAGCUCAACCUUCCCAUAUCUUAUCCGUUAACAACUUAGAUUUCAGAUCAAGUUUUCAUCCCACAAGUUUAGAUCUAGAGCAAGCUUUAAAUUAUAACAGUUAUGUCUAAACUUGAGAGAGAACUUUAAAUUUGCAAAUUAGGCAGAGCAACUAUUCAUCAUAUCCAUGCUAGAGUUUUAUUAUUAAGAUUCAUAGCAAACUUUAUUUAUUUAUUUAUUUAUUUAGCAAACUAAGAAAAGAUAUAUAUAUAUAAGCAUAAAAUCUUUAUUUGGUUUUUCAUAGUUUAUGUAUUUUAAUAUUCUAAUAUAAGUAUAAAGAUAGGUAGAAAUACUUAGCGAGAUAAAUAGGGGUGCUUUUCCCCAAGCUGAAUUUUGACGUAAUUUCUCUUGAUGUAGCUAGCAGGUGGCAGAGGUGUAUUUGAAAGUCAGCAGCAUUCUGACAGCGAUUAGAAUGUCCUCCGUCUGCUAGUCUUCUUGAUUCUUAAAUUCUGUGGAGCUCAAAUAGACAACAAAGCUUGUGGAACUAAUUAAGUGUUAGCAUAAAUAUCUAGCCUUCAUCACGUUGAGAUUCCUCAAUAAAUAUUACUCCCUGUUUUUAUAUAUUUUUAUUUUAUAAAGUAGAAAAGAAAUAUUUAUUUUAUUUUUAUGCCACCACAGUGAAGGUACUUAUGGGUUUUAUGCCACUCGUAUACUCACAUGGGGCUUAGUAUUUUUUAAUAUUUUUAUUUUCUUUUCAAGAUAGCAUGAUUAACUAAAAAUCUAUUUAAGGAAAGUAAAUAAUUAAAGGAAAAAGGAAAUGCAGAAAGGAUAAAUAUGGAUAACUACCAAUCUUACCUUUCGGCGAGGGUUCAAUGUUUUAAGUCUUCUUGACAAGACUUCUCACCGUGUUCAUUCUUCAGGUGCAUCAUUUGAUUCAGGUGCGGACCUUGACGUCUGCACCUUUUAAUACGGUGUCACCCAUGUUCUUCGUUUGCCCAACAGUUCGAAGUGUGGUGUUAGCAGUAUCUUGCUCAGUGUGUUUGUGCUCGUAGUGUACCUGCUCAUAGAGACAAGGCAGAGAUCAAGUGCAUGGGCCCUGUUGGUGGAAAACACCAACAGAACCAAAAGUGUAUUUGUUCUUCUCUAACCUUAAGCAUAGUGAGCAAGACAAAGUUGAUGGAUGAUAAGUUCAUGAGUGUAGCACUUAUAACAUUUGUCAGAUCAGAUCGCUCAACCUUAUGGAAAGAUAAUCUAUCUAUGUAUAUGUCUUUUUCUUUAUGUCUCUCAAUGAUUGAAUGUGUAACAUUUUAGCUCAUAUGAUUAGGAGUGUGGGAUCAUGGAGGUAGUACUAAGAACAAGGAUUAAAGGACUAAACAUGUUGAAUCAGUUGGGUUGGUUAAUCUAGAGUUGUAAAUCAUACACGUUUGUCUCUUUUAUUUAUAUGAACGCCAGAACCAAGGAGAAGCUUAUAAAAGUGAUAGUCAAGUACCUUAAGAUGUUACCUUGCUUGAAGAGUGAUGGUACAGUAUCAUCUUGUGGAAGCUUUCCUUUCUUAGCGGUUGUGCAUCGUGUUUGUGGCACCGUCCAUGGAUCAUCUCUCUAUGAUGAAUGAGCUAUGUCCUUCUUGUGCAAAUUGUUAAACUUCAUGUGUCACUCUCUUCGUCUCUGAUGUGAGUUUAUCUCAGGACUUCCCAAAUCGAUAUUGAAAGUUUUUCUGUAGGGGUUAGUCCGACAAAAUAUACCAAUAUCUACUCAAGCAGUUUUUUUUAGUUCAAUAACCAAACUAGACUCCAUGUCUAAUUAGAUUAAGGAAGGCUAUUUAACCUAAGCACCAUGCUUAAUUUAAAUGCCAAUGGAAGUAUGGCGAGUACUUCCAAACCAACACUUGCUAGUAAAUAGACAAAGGUAGCAUGACAGCAUUUAUAGAGAUCUACUCAAGUGGAGAUGAAGUAGUGUGAUUAGUAUUUAACAAAUUGAGCAUGUCUCAAAGGUAGGGACAACCAGCAUAGCAACAUGGCAAAGGAUGUUUUUAUGUAAAGUACUCCCCCAAGCUUGAAUUUUGCAAAAUUCAAGUUUGGAUGAAUUUAAUUCAAUGUUGUAUGAUGAUUGGUUGGACAUACCUUGUGCUUGUCAUUCAUCCGAUCUUCUUGCUCCAAUCCUAGAAAGGUUAGUGACAAGAAUACCCGAAGGAAUAUUUUUUUUUUUACAAUUAUCCUUAUAUGCUCAAUACACAAGGUAAUGUUGCAAAUAAUUAAAAGCUCAUGUUACGAUCUGAUCAAUGCUUAUUUUAAGACACUAAGCUUGUCCUUGGGAAACCAUCAUUUUAUGUUGGCGAAGUGGUUUCCUCUCCGACGCCAACCUAUAUCUAGAUCAACUCAACGAGAUCUGCAAUAUUUAUUAUAGACAUAUGCAUCGACAACCGCCCUUUUAAAGUUUUUAUAAAUAAAAAGGAAGAGGGGGUUGGAGAUCUCAAGUGUGGUGAUGUCGAAGAGACCAAUAGAUUGGGAAGAUGUUGCAUAUGACCAUGGAGUAAACAAAGUGGCUAUGAAAUAAAUUCCAUGCUCAUUAAUGUUAUCUUCGUCUCCAAUCUGAAUGUUCAGAGUUUCUCUUGGAUUGGUCUCACUUAUGUCCUCUUCUAUAGUUGGAUGAAUCUCAUCUUCAAAGGGAGUCAAGAACUCACCAUUUGAAAUUGAGCCAAAGUCAGAACCAUUAAGGCUUCUUCCUUAUCCAUCCAUUCUACACAUUCUAGCCAUUUAGAACUUGUGAUCAGGAAAGGGGAGGUGUUAGAAUUUUCAAUAUGGCUUAGCUCUCCUUCACUUGAUAUGUCAUCCUCGAUUUCUUCAUAACAGGAAUGAGGACAUUCUCUAAGAGAAACAUUAUUGCAAUGAUUUGAAUUAUCCCUGCUUGAAGGUCUCUUAUAGAACCAGAAGUUUAAACCAUCAGCAUCUAAAAGAUUUAAGGUCGGAAUUCCUUCCUCCCUUGGAGAAAUUUGGGGUAUUGAUGGUUUAGGAUUGAUAGCUAAAGUUUGGGAUUGAAGUGGUUGUGAUCUGGCUAUCGAAACUUAUUCUUCUUGUCUAGGAACUGGUUCUUUCUCUUUCUCAGGGAUAUAAAAGCUAGGAGACUUUCCGCUCAUUAAAUCAAUCAAAUUCCAAGCUUCACUAGCGGAUAGGUGGUGGAAAGAUCCUCCAGAGGCCGCAUGAAGGGUUUGCUUAUCUUCCUUACUAAGGCCCUCAAAAAAGUGAAUUAGAAGAACUUCUUCUGGAAUAGAAAGUUUUGGGCCAAUGAGAGUAAGGUUAAUAAAUCGGUCCCAUGAUUUGCCAAGAGAUUCUUCUUCCAGUUGUCUAAAAGAAAGAAUCUCACGCCGAAGCUCCACCACUUCGGAGAUUGGAAAAUAUUUAGAAAGAAAACUACUAUAUAACUCCUUCCAAUCUCCAUGAACACUCCCUACUUUGAGUUUAUACCAAUGUCUAGCUUUUCCCGUUAAAGAGAACGGAAAGAGCUUCCAUUUAAGGGUCUCAUCGGACAUGCCUUCUAUGCGAAGGAGGUCACAGACUCGAUAAAACUCUCUUAGGUGUGUGUAUGAGUUUUCCUCACCUUCUCCUGAGAAAGGUUGUUUUUGAAUAAAUUCUAUGUAUUCGGGGUCUAUCUCAAAACUAGAUGCUAUGAUAGGCUUUGAAGAUUUUGGUGGUUCGAGAUGUGUGCCCAUAGGUCUAUGAAAUUCAUAGAUAGACAUGUUUGAAUUCAUAAUAGACCAGAGAUCAAGGAUUAGAUAAGAAGAAAGAAUAGCAGAGAUGAGGCAAAGGAUAAAAGGAAAAUAUUUAUUUUUUUAUUUAUUUUUUUAUAAAAUGAUUAAACUAGUUCGUAGUCAACUCAGCAACCAUUUCCCCAGCAACGGCGCCAAAAAUGCUUGUUGACACUUACUAACACCACUUGAAUACUAGGUUGUCAUCCCCAGCAUGGCACUAGAGUGUAUUAUGGUAUUUAUACGCACACAGAUAAUCCGCAAGCGCACGGAUACCGUUGAAGCUUUUACCCGGUUAAAGGUUUUAUCGAAUCCACAGGGAAACGGGAGAACUGAUCUACGCUCUAACUUAACCAAGAUAAGUAAAUAGGUGUGAAUAGGAAAGAUGGUAGAAUCAAAUAAGAACAAUAUUAAAGGUAAGAUAACAGUGAGUGAUAAUAUGGGAAUAGAUAGUAGAGCAAUUCUAGUAUAUGGGCGAUGGUAGCAGAAUAGAGAGGUUAACUAUGGUUUCUCUACUUCAAAGGGGUAUGUCUAUGUCUGGGACGAACCACGUGAUAAGAGUACACCACAAAGGAUGAUUAUCCUUAGGCCGAUAAACCCUACCCAUCCUGCUAACGAGAGGUGGACUACAGGGGACCAACGUAACUGUCACCUACGCGGCCUACCACACGAUCCAGCUAGUCUGGGGAUAUCCACAAGUAAUCUAGGUCUAAGCACCACGCUUAGACCUAUACUACAACUCUAACCUAUAGGGUCCUAUAGAUUAGAAGUACUCAAAAGAGUUGUGAACCAGAACAUACAUGAUUAGUAAUUGCAUAAUGAAUUAGAAGUAGAUUACCAGAGUCAUCCCAUGAGCAAGCUUGAUUAGAGCUUGAUCAUUGCGAAGUACAACCGGAGGAAGAACCGACAGGCCGGCCUCUCCUCUAAUCCUCCUUCACUCUCCAUCUUGCUACUAUCUAGAUCUACUCUAGUUUAGAGAAGAGAGGAGAGCUCUCAUCUCUAAACCCUAGCUUUUGCUCUGUCUAUGAAUAAUGAAUAAUGAUCAAGGGGUGCCUCCUCCAGGGGCCAGGGGGUCUGGUUUUAUAGUCCCCUCAAGUGAACCUGAGCCGUCGGAUCAAACCGACAUUGAUUGAACGGUUAUUUUUGAUCCUUUAGGUCGGUGGAGCAUAAUUCGCGAGAUUGAGCGUGAUUGGCCACAGGAGGUGGGCGGGCGCCCUGUCUCUGGCCCCGUUUCGCAUCCGCUUCAGUCUCGUGGCUUCUGGAGUCUUCUAGAUGUAAGAUAAUUGCGUGGCACGUUGAUAUCUCUAUGUAAUCCCGACGUGUGGGCCUUUCUUCCUUAUUUCCUGAUAACCCCCUGCAGAAAUAGACAAACACCAAAACUCGUGGAAUUCUGUCAGAUAAAACCCUAAGUCUAGAUGUUGAUUUCAUUUGGAUCCUUUUCUUUGUUUAUUUGAUAAUUAAAUUUGAUACUUAAGGACCGUCAACACCUGGCAAGGCGAAUGUAGUAGCUGAUGCCCUCAGUCGUAAGGCUCACUGUAAUUGCUUAACAGUGACGCCUAAAGAUAUAACUUUGUGCCAAGAGCUAGAGAACCUGGGAAUAGAAAUGAUUUCCCAAGGAAGCCUUGCCAAUCUAACGGUUGAUUUCAACCUCGAAGCUCAAAUCAUAAGGCACAAAAAGAGGAUAAAGGCAUGAAAUAUCUUAAAGAGAAAAUUUCUAAUAGAGCACCCACAGACUUUAAGGUGGAUGAUGCAGGAGUAAUCUGGUUCAAGAACCGGUUAGUGGUUCCAAAGGUACCUGAGCUACGUCAACAAAUCCUGGAUGAAGCUCAUACCACGAGGUAUUCUAUUCAUCCGGGAAGUAAUAAGAUGUAUCAGGACCUAAAGCAAAGGUUUUGGUGGACAAAAAUGAAGAUAGAAAUAGCUCGCUAUGUGGCCCAAUGUGAUACCUGCCGAAAAGUCAAAGCUAUUCAUCUCAAAUCCGCUGGAGAAUUGCAACCUUUGCCUAUUCCAGCAUGGAAAUGGGAUGAUAUUAGUAUGGAUUUCAUAGUAGGGUUGCCCAAGACGGCCAAAGGCUUUGAUUCAAUUUGGGUCAUUGUGGAUCGUCUCACCAAAACAGCACACUUCUUGCCUGUAAAGAUAUUAUAUCCUGCCUCCACUUAUGCUAAGAUUUAUUUUGACCGUAUACUAAGUCUGCAUGGGGUGCCAAAGACAAUAGUAUCAGAUAGAGGCACACAAUUGGUCUCCCAGUUCUGGAAAUGCUUACAUGAAUCUUUGGGCACCAAGCUUUUAUAUAGUACAGCCUACCACCCUCAAACAGGUGGGCAAACAGAGAUGGUGAAUCAAACCCUAGAAGAUCUAUUAAGAUCUUGUGCCCUGAAUUUUCCAGAUAAGUGGGAUGACUGCUUGCCUCUAGCAGAGUUUUCUUACAACAAUAGCUACCAAGAGAGUGUUGACGGUCCUUAAGUACUAAAAUUAAUAAUCAAAUAAACAUGAAAAAGGAUCAAUAUGAAACAAACAUCUAGAAUUAGAGUUUUAUCUGACAGAAUUCCACGAGCUUUGGUGUUUAUCUAUUUCUAUAGGGGUUUAUCAGAAAAUAUGGAGAGAAGGUCCACAUGUCAUGUUUACAAUGAGAUAAUUACGUGCCGCGCAAUUUUCCUCAAUCUAGAAGGAUCCAGAAGCCACGGGAACGAACGGGACGCGAAUCGGGCUCGGGAGCUGGGCGGCCGCCCACCCCCUUGGGCGCCCGCCCUGGCCAAGAGGCCAAUCAGGACUCUGCUUCGGGGCAAGACUCCACCGACCUAAAGGAUCAAUCUAAACCAUACAAUCUAUGUCGGUUUGAUCCAAUGGCUCACGUUCACUUGAGGAGACUAUAAAACCAGACCCCCUGGACCCUGGAGGAGGAGAGGAGAAAUCAUUAUUCAGAGGUAGCCAUCAAAGUUAGGGCUUAGAUCUCUCUCCCACAGAGAAUUAGAAUUAGCUACUCCCUAAUCCUUCAAGUUUAGAGGUUGAUUAGAUAGCAAUUAGAGAAGUAGAGCACUACGCUCUGGAUUCGGAUCUUCGGUAAUAAAGAUUGGUAUUAUUCAUAUCUUUCUCUAAUUCUAUUGUUCUAAUUGCAUUAUGUCUCUAGUUCUAUAUUUGAUAUAGUUCUAAUUGAUAAUGAGUUCAUGUAUAAGUUUGCAAAGCGCUUAGCUCUUGUCGCGAGGGAGUUAAGUGAUAGAUCACAUGUGAGCGUGGUGCUUAGAUGUUAUUUAUCUGCAAAUGUAUCCUAUUGGCCGAGUCGUGUGGUAGUUCGCGAUAGUGACAGCUUCGUUGAUUCUUAUAUAGUCCACCCUCCGUUGAUAGGACAGGCAGAACCGGUAUUGUGGAGUAAGUCAUGCGAUGCUCUGAUUUACUUUAUCAAUGUUCCUUAUACAUGAAUGAAGAGUCUUUUAUGCUAUAUAUGAUCUUGUAGAUAACUAGAGUAGAUUAUGACUUAGUAGUUAGUAGAUAACUUAGAAUCCAUUCUCUAGCUAAUCCGACAUCACCUACAUAUAUGAGGAGUAGUCUAUUUUCUAAUCGAUGUGCUAUCUACCCAUGAACUUAUACUUUAUUAUCAUUAUCUUUAUGGUUUACCCCCUGCUAAAGUAAGUGACUGUGUAACGAGUUUCUCAUUAGUAAUCAUGUUCUUGCAAGUUUAUCUCUAGUCUAUGCCUUGAUAGAUUUUGUCCCUUGAUUUAAUUCCAUCUUCUUGAGAUCCCUAGAGCAAACUUAUAAAUAACGAUACCUGGAAUACUUAUCCUGGUGAAAUCCUACAAUGAGGUGUUUUAUCUGUGCGCUUGCGGAUAGAAUAGAUUAUUUUCUAGAGAGCCUUUACAUUUAUAAAUACCUUUGUACACUCUGGCGCCAUGCUAGGGAUGACAACCUAGUAUCUAAGUGGUGUUAGUUAGUGUCAACAAGCAUUUCUGGCGCCGUUGCCGGGGAUCUUAUAGGAAUUAUAGGAAUUAUAUGAGCCUCAGGAAUAAGUCAUAAAAGGGAACAAAAGGGUAAUAUUAAGGAAAGCCAAAAAAUCAAUCAAGGUAAUUCAUAUAAAAUAUUAGACUAGACUAUAGAGAAAUAAUGGCAUAAAACAGCUACUAAGUGAGAAAUCAUAACAAGGCACCGCUGCUUUGGCAGGUUCACCCUGUUGUUUUUCUAUGUUUAUAUUUUUAUACAGGGUAUAACAUGAUUGACUUUGGGUACAUUCAACUCUUCAUCAUCAGAACCAAAGCAAUCAAGAGAAGAAGAAGCUAGCUACCAAUUGCUGAAGCUAUGGCACAGAAGACCCUACAAGAAUUCUCUGCUCCAAGCCUUGAGAACAUUCUAACUGGUCCAAGAUUUGCAGUAGAAGAAGGAAUACCUAAGUUUGAGCUCAAGUCAAGCCUCAUCAAUUUGGUACAAGCUACACAAUUCAGUGGAAAGGCACAUGAAGAUGCUAGUGCACACUUGCAGAAUUUCUUAGAGAUUGGAAGCACAAUCCACAUCAACGGAGUUGACAAAGACGUCAUGCUACUUCGCCUUUUUCCAUUCUCACUAGGAGGGAAAGCGAGGAAGUGGUUCUACACUCAUUAAGAUAACAUCAACAACUGGACGAACUUGUCAGAUGCCUUUCUAUCAAAGUUUUUCCCUAUAGGCAAAACAACUGCCUUUAGAGGAAAUAUUGUCAGUUUCCAACAGCAGAAGACAGAAACCAUUUCAGAAGCAUGGGAGCGUUUUCAAGGAUACAUUUCAGAUUGUCCUCACCAUGGAAUGGCCAAGUGGUUACUUAUGCAGACCUUCUACCAUGGAUUAACCCAGAAGGCUCGUGAGUGCCUAGAUGCAUCCGCUAAAGGAUCAUUCUUGGAACUUACAACUGGAAAAGUAGAGAUACUUUUGGAUAAGAUAGCAGAAAACCAAAGCUGGUUCCUAGAUAAAGCUCAACAUUGUCAUCAAACUGAAGAAAUACCCGAAGAAGUAAAUGUGUUAUCAAGUAAGAUGGAAAAUUUGCUCCAUUGGAUUGACCAGAGGGCCAAGUUCAAAGAAGAUCACAGGGCCAUUGAGACAGCAUACAAAUAUCAACCAACUUCGAGUCAACCCAAUAGCAAAGGUAUGAAUUCAGGUAAUACUUUCAAGCAACUUUCAUUAAAAGAGAUAAUUGCUCAACAAACCAAAAUAAAUGAUGAAGUUAAACAAAGACUAGAUACAAAUGAAUCGUCUCUAAAAGAUAUACACAACAAAAUGGAUUUUCUACCAACUGCCUUUGAUGAGCAAAACACUCUUAAUAAAAGGGUAGAGCUUAAAUUAAUAAAGUUAGCUACUGCACUGCCCGUUGCUACUAACAUUGAGCAGGUAAAGAAUAUAACUACUAGAGGAGGUAAAGCCACCAGAGAUCCACCAUACCCAAAAGAGAAACAAAGAACAUCAGCAUCAGUGCAACCAGUAGUGAUAGAAGAAGAAAGCCCAGUUGAAGCAGAAGAUCUGCUACAACCACCAAGAACUGGAGAAAUGAGGAAAGAUUUUUACGACCCCAACUAUUUGCCAUUUCCCAGAAGAAACAGAGGACUGCAGUCGGAUGAGCAGUUUGGUAAGUUUGUAGAGGUCAUUCAGAAAUUAUAUGUCAACAUACCUCUACUUGAUGCCAUACAGGUACCUACAUAUGCAAAGUACAUCAGAGAUAUUCUUAACAAAAAGAGACCACUGCCCACCACUGAGGUUAUCAAGCUGACAGAAGAAUGUAGUGCGGCCAUCCUCAACAAACCACCAAAGUUGAAGGAAGAUCCAGGAUGCCCCACUAUUGACUACUCGAUCGGAAACCAACACUUCAACAAUGCACUUUGUGAUCUCGGAGCAAGUGUCAGUGUGAUGCCAGCAUCAGUCUACAAAAAGCUUAAUCAUGCAAACUUAGAACCAACAUCAAUGUGCCUACAACUAGCGGAUCAAUCGGUUCGACACCCGUUGGACAUCGCCGAGAACAUUCCAGUCAAGAUCAGAGAUUUCCUGGUGCCAGUAGACUUCGUAGUACUGGACAUGAGUCCUGACUCAAAAGUGUCCAUCAUCCUUGGAAGGCCAUUUCUGAGCACUACCAAUGCCCACAUUGAUGUCGGAAAAGGAGAAAUCAAGUUCAACAUAAACGGUCAAGAAGAACACUUCACAUUCAAACCCAGACCAGAGAGAGACUCUACAGUGAAAGAAGUUCAUGAAGAACCACUGGAGACACCAUCUCCGGAGGAAGGAAACUCAGAAGAUUAAAAGAUUUGGAGGUCCAGCUUGGGGGACCUAAAAAUCCCAAACCCUCACCGGGAGGUAAAUCGGUAUUUACCCGCAUUAUUAAUUUUCUCGUAUUUAAAUUCUUGCAUAAUUAAUUCUUGCAUUAGUCAUAGCAUAAUUAUAAAAAAAAAGAAGCCCCAUAUAAAUAAUAUUCGUGGUGUGUAACAACCCAUAUUAUUAAUUAUUGUGGAGGCACAAAAAUAUUUUCCAAUAUCAUUUUCAAUAAGUUUCGAUUCUCAUAGAUUUUCCUGCAUUAUAUUUAAUCAUAUAAAUCUUCUAGAAGCUUGACCCACACUCUUUGGGUCCCACAUGUCAUACACUUCAUCUCACAUACAUCCCAUCACAUAAUUUCAUCCACCAAUAUGUUUCCACUCACUUGACAUCUUUCCACCGUCCAACCACCACCAACACAAUAUUAUUCUGCGUGAGAUCAAAGCAAGGAAGCAUGUGGAGGAGGCACACCCAGGAUGGACACCAGGGGUGGGCGCCCGCCCUGUCCCCUGCUCAGCAUAUAAAAGGCCACCUCCAGCUCCCCUUCUCUUCACACAAGCACUUCAGAAAACCACACAAAUCUCAGUUUCACGAGAAGGAGCUUUUAUAGUGAAGAUAAGAGAGUAGAGAGAAAGAGGAGAGUGGAAGGGAAGGUUGGAGUUCUUUUGAGAGAAUGAUUGUCACCUAGCAAAUAGUGAUCCCGCUGUCCAAGCGAAAGUAAAAGUUGUUUAGGGGGAGGCUCUACCAAAAUAGAAACUUGUCUUGAACGAUUAACCCCUGGACUACUGACACUCGGACAGCUGACCACUAACCUUUUAUCUCACAUUUUCCACCAGUUGUGUUUUUGCCAACUUUUGUUUGCAGGAUGUUUAAGAAGGUGAAGAAUGGAGGGAAGGCUCUCAAGAACAUUGGUACAAGGAGUUCAACCCGACACUCCUCACAGCCAUCAGAGAUAAGCGUCGACCCGACACCCACACAAGCUCCAUCAUCUUCAUCAGGCCAGCAAGUCAAGGUCCUUCUCAAGAUAGGAGACCUUGGACUGAAGACCCGAAGAGAGAAGGAAGUUUAUCAGCAAUUGAAGAACAAGGAUUUCAUUCACACCCCUACUAUCGAUCCAAUCCUACUACGAGAAACAGGUAUGGACACUGAAUUUGACUUAAUUUUUCAGAUGAUGGGUUGGACAAAUUUUUGGAAUAUAACUGAGCUGGGUUCUCGUCUUCUCACCCUCGAAUUUCUUUGCACUUUACAAUACUAUGAGGGGGGGAAUUGUUUUUCAGAUGUUUAAACAGGAAAUUAUAUUAUCUUGGAGAGAGCUGAGCGACCGUCUUGGUUUCUCUUCAAGAUGCAUCCUGAACAUUGGCUCCGAUUUACCCAAUUUUGAGAGACACCAGUUUUGGAGAGAAAUAUCUAGAGAUAAUUUUUACAGUCAAGCCCGAACCAGUGACAUGGAACACCCCACUCUUAGGAUGUUCCACAAAUGGCUUGGGUACAAUCUUUUCUAUCACGAUGAUAUUAGGAAAGUAAGAGUAGGAGAUUUACAACUUUUAUAUGCUGCUAUUAGUAAAGUACCUACUUCACCUGUUACACUAUUAGUUUCAUAUUGUCUUAGUAUACCUAGUCUUCAGGGACCAGUAGGAUGUACUUCACUUAUCACUCGUCUAGCCACUAAUCUUCACUUACUAGAAAACUCAUCGUUGGACUUCAUAGAAGAAUUAAGAAUUUAUCAUGGCUAUGACACAUUUAGACAAGCUCGGAUGUUAAAGAAAGAGGGGAAUAUAAUGUAUAUGCUAUAUGAUGAUAAAGGCAAGAUUCGGUUACCUAACACGAACCUUGGCCUCUACUCUGUGCAAAACUUUUUGAUUGAGAUUGCAGCAACACCAGUGAACCAGAGAACUCCACAGCGAGUGGCAUCUGAAAGGAUAACCACUCACCGAGAACGCACUUGGUAUGGAGCUGACCCUGGACCAGAAGAAGCAGCGCACCUGCAUUAUUGCGAUUACAAUCCACGAGUCCUUCGAGACCCAUGGGCUCGUCAUGCACAACCACAAGAGCCAACAGAAGAGACAUGGCCGGAGAGCCAAGAUCACCAGUGGACAAACCCGCCUUUUCAUAUGGGCAGGUACUCCACUGAUCCAUAUGGAGCUUCAGGAUCCAGACCUCCACCCCAAUUUGAUGCAGGACGAUACUCCGACGCCUCCUACGCCUUCACGAAUGACUACUAUCAAGAGGCCGGUGCUUUCUUCACUCGUACCGACAACACCCUCCUCGACAUCCAGAACACGCAAGCAGAACAUGGAAGACUCCUGGAAGAGCAACAAAAAUGGAACCAGGACCAUGCCGCUGCGGUACAAGAGCUGAGACAAGAUACAACAACAAUGAACGAUAACAUCACAACCAUGAUGCGGUUCUGGAACAUCGGGUAAGACCCACGUCAACAUCCAGCUUGGGGGAGUUCCUCCCUAAUUUAUCAAGUAAGUUUUUAUUUGCUCUUCUUGUUUAUUCUAUUCUGUCUUAGUAUUUUAUUUAUCUUAAAAGAAAAAACUUAGAAAACCAAAUAAAUAUUUUCUUGCUUUAAUUUACUGCACUUUAUAAACAUGAAAACAAAAUAAAAAGAGUGCGUAGAUAAGUGUGUUUUAUUUUUCUACUAAGUUUAAUCUCUAAAAAAAAGAAAGAAAUAUGCAUGAUGUGAUGAACAGUUGCUCUGUUUGCUUACUUACAAGUACCUAGCUUUUAUAUUAAAAUUCUUCCAGGAAUUACUAAAACUAAAAUUACUAUCUUUGGGAAGCAUAAAACUAAAGUCUAGUUAAGAGAAAGGCAUGAUAUAAAGUUGAGCUACUGUUUAUCUUGUUUCUACUGCACUAAGUUCUGGAGAUUUAUUUUGAAAACUUACAAGUCACAUGAUGAGUUCCUAGCAUAACAAACUACCUACCACAGCCAUACUUGCUAUAACAUCUUUUACUAUAUUUACAUUGAGUUUGAUCGAGCUGUGUAGACCCUUAGGAGCUUUUCAUGUGGUUAAAUUAAGAUAUUCACUUGCACACAUCUACCACAGCAUUCAUCAUCAAUCAUUAAAAUUGCUAAAAAUAUUAUCACUCACUGUCCCGAAUAUUGUUAUUCUCUCUCUCUAAAAAGAUUCAAUGCAGAAGAGGCAUGGGUUAUGCAAAAAUAUAUACGAGGAAAUAAAAAGGGGCAAGUGCCCGGGAACCUCAAAAAAGAAAGAAAAAGAGUGAGACGAGAGGUAAAAAUGGACAAGUGUCCGAAGUAGAAUUAGGGGUACAAAGAUGCCCACUUGAGCGGAAAAAAUGGACAAGUGUCCGACAGUAGAAUUAGGGGUAUCUAUUACCCACCUGAAAAAAAAGAAGAAAGAAGAAAGAAAAAGAUAGCCCAUGUUCUCCCAAAGCAAAGAUCAAAAAUAAGAGGAGAGAUAGCAAUAUGAGGAGCAAUGAGAACUAAGAUUUAUUAACACUAUUGCAUUUUCACCAUCACUAUCAUUUACUCCACCACACAUGCACAUCUUGAUUUAAUUAUAUGCUGAGUUCCUUUGGAUCCAUGGCUCGAUUAGACAACAUAUGUAUGAGCUGUUUUCCACUCCUAUGAGCUCCACUUAAAUAUUCUAUUAGCUAUAGGUAAGUGACAUUAUGGUAAGGAUCCACAAAUACCACAUAUAGAGAGACUUGAGAGAUCAUUGCUGGGAACUCUGAGUUUUAUUUUGAAAACUUAUGAAAAAACUCUAGAACAAAGGUGAAGUGUAGACAAGAGGGAUAGUGCUUGACUUAACUAUUUUGUCUUUUGAUUACUUAAGAUUUAAGUGCAGGUACUAAACUCCAUAACACUUCACUCUAAUCUGGAAGAAUUUUUAUGUAAAAGCAUGUGUGCCUGUCAGGAAAGAAAACAUCGAAGCAACUCCUGAUCCGUCUAAGUUUAGCUAUUUGCUCAGGGAUGAGCAAAGGGUAAGCUUGGGGGAGU
rnacentral:lncRNA from 1 species